GGGAAACCCUAGUAGAGCGGCGCACGGGUGCGUAACACGUGGAUAAUCUGCCUGGAUGCCUGGGAUAACCAGUCGAAAGAUUGGCUAAUACCGGAUAAGCCCACGGUCUCUUCGGAGACUGAGGGAAAAGGUGGCCUCUGUAUACAAGCUAUCACAACCAGAUGAGUCCGCGGCCCAUCAGCUAGUUGGCGGGGUAAUGGCCCACCAAGGCAACGACGGGUAGCUGGUCUGAGAGGACGAUCAGCCACACUGGAACUGAGACACGGUCCAGACUCCUACGGGAGGCAGCAGUGGGGAAUUUUGCGCAAUGGGCGAAAGCCUGACGCAGCAACGCCGCGUGUGUGAUGAAGGUCUUUGGAUUGUAAAGCACUUUCGACCGGGACGAAAACCCGGAGGCUAACAUCCUCCGGCUUGACGGUACCGGGAGAAGAAGCACCGGCUAACUCUGUGCCAGCAGCCGCGGUAAUACAGAGGGUGCAAGCGUUGUUCGGAAUUAUUGGGCGUAAAGCGCGUGUAGGCGGCUUUGCAAGUCGGGUGUGAAAGCCCUCAGCUCAACUGAGGAAGUGCGCCCGAAACUGCAGAGCUUGAGUGCCGGAGAGGGUGGCGGAAUUCCCCAAGUAGAGGUGAAAUUCGUAGAUAUGGGGAGGAACACCGGUGGCGAAGGCGGCCACCUGGACGGUAACUGACGCUGAGACGCGAAAGCGUGGGUAGCAAACAGGAUUAGAUACCCUGGUAGUCCACGCCGUAAACGAUGAGAACUAGGUGUCGUGGGAGUUGACCCCCGCGGUGCCGUAGCUAAC
rnacentral:rRNA from 1 species